rnacentral:sRNA from 1 species
CACCGGCGAUUGAUCACGCCGAGGCCUGAUAGCCGGCUCGUCCCCCGCCGCGUCAGGUCUGGACAAAGGCCUCAUCCCCUCUCCGGGCCUUUGUCCCCCCAUUCGAGCCGCCAUGGCGCACCUCCAGGCCAUGGCGGCUUUUC